AUUCAACGCUGGCGGCAGGCUUAACACAUGCAAGUCGAGCGGAGAUGAGGUGCUUGCACCUUAUCUUAGCGGCGGACGGGUGAGUAAUGCUUAGGAAUCUGCCUAUUAGUGGGGGACAACAUUCCGAAAGGAAUGCUAAUACCGCAUACGUCCUACGGGAGAAAGCAGGGGAUCUUCGGACCUUGCGCUAAUAGAUGAGCCUAAGUCAGAUUAGCUAGUUGGUGGGGUAAAGGCCUACCAAGGCGACGAUCUGUAGCGGGUCUGAGAGGAUGAUCCGCCACACUGGGACUGAGACACGGCCCAGACUCCUACGGGAGGCAGCAGUGGGGAAUAUUGGACAAUGGGGGGAACCCCGAUCCAGCCAUGCCGCGUGUGUGAAGAAGGCCUUAUGGUUGUAAAGCACUUUAAGCGAGGAGGAGGCUACUGAGACUAAUACUCUUGGAUAGUGGACGUUACUCGCAGAAUAAGCACCGGCUAACUCUGUGCCAGCCGCCGCGGUAAUAC
rnacentral:rRNA from 1 species